AUGGGGACGGAGCGGAAGCGCAAGGUGAGCCUCUUCGACGUUGUCGACGAGACCUCCGUAUCCGCGAAGCUCGGCCGCGCCGGCAUCAAUGGUGCCGCCGCCGCCGCCGCGGCCAAUCCGUCCAUCAACCGGUGGAACGGCCGGCCCUACUCGGCGCGGUACCUGGAGAUCCUCGAGAAGCGCCGCACGCUCCCCGUGUGGCAGCAGAAGGACGAGUUCCUCCGCGUCCUCCGCGACAACCAGACCCUCAUCCUUGUCGGAGAAACCGGAAGUGGCAAGACCACUCAGAUCCCCCAAUUUGUGCUCGAGGCUGAUGGUUUGAGCAACCGCUCUAUGGUUGCCUGCACCCAGCCGCGGAGGGUUGCUGCAAUGUCGGUCUCUCGGCGUGUCGCGGAGGAGAUGGAUGUCACAAUCGGGGAGGAAGUUGGUUACAGUAUCCGAUUCGAAGAUUGCAGCAGUCACAAAACUGUUCUCAAAUAUUUGACAGAUGGUAUGCUUCUGAGAGAAGCAAUGGCAGACCCACUUUUAGAGAGGUACAAGGUGAUUGUUCUUGACGAGGCUCAUGAGCGCACAUUGGCAACGGAUGUUCUGUUUGGGCUUCUGAAGGAAGUUCUAAAGAACAGGCCUGACUUGAAGCUUGUUGUCAUGAGUGCUACUCUUGAGGCAGAGAAGUUUCAGGGUUAUUUCAGUGGUGCACCAUUGAUGAAGGUUCCUGGUAGACUUCAUCCGGUUGAGAUCUUCUAUACUCAGGAACCAGAAAGGGACUAUCUAGAAGCUGCUAUCAGGACAGUUGUGCAGAUACAUAUGUGUGAACCUGCUGGUGAUAUCCUUGUAUUCCUUACUGGAGAAGAGGAGAUUGAGGAUGCGUGUCGGAAAAUAAACAAGGAAGUUAAUAACAUGGGUGAUCAGGUUGGCCCAGUUAAAGUCGUGCCAUUGUACUCUACUCUCCCCCCUGCAAUGCAGCAGAAGAUUUUUGACCCUGCUCCACCUCCAUUGAAAGAGGAAGGUCCUGCUGGAAGGAAAAUCGUUGUGUCCACAAACAUUGCUGAGACAUCCCUAACCAUCGAUGGUAUAGUGUAUGUUAUAGAUCCAGGGUUUUCCAAACAGAAGGUUUACAAUCCAAGGAUAAGGGUGGAAUCCCUUUUGGUGUCUCCAAUUUCCAAGGCAAGUGCGCAUCAGAGAGCCGGUCGUGCUGGAAGAACACAGCCUGGGAAGUGCUUCAGGUUGUACACAGAAAAGAGUUUUAAUGGUGAUUUACAGCCGCAGACGUACCCAGAAAUUCUUCGGUCAAACCUGGCAAAUACAGUUCUUACUCUGAAGAAGCUUGGAAUUGACGACUUAGUGCAUUUUGACUUCAUGGAUCCUCCUGCACCCGAAACUCUAAUGAGGGCCUUGGAAGUUCUGAACUAUUUGGGGGCACUCGACGAUGAAGGCAACCUAACAUCUUUAGGUGAAAUGAUGAGUGAGUUCCCCUUAGACCCACAGAUGUCAAAGAUGCUUGUCAUCAGUCCAAGGUACAACUGUUCAAAUGAGAUCCUCUCAAUAUCUGCCAUGCUAUCAGUACCCAAUUGCUUUCUCCGGCCUAGGGAGGCACAAAAGGCUGCUGAUGAGGCGAAGGCUCGAUUUGGGCACAUCGAUGGGGAUCAUCUGACACUUUUGAACGUGUACCAUGCAUACAAGCAAAACAAUGAGGAUCCUACAUGGUGUUAUGAGAAUUUUGUCAAUGCCCGGGCGAUGAAGUCUGCUGAUAAUGUUAGACAACAACUUGUCCGCAUCAUGACCAGAUUCAACCUCAAGAUGUGCAGUACAGACUUCAACAGUCGCGAGUACUAUGUCAACAUCAGGAAAGCAAUGCUUUCAGGGUACUUUAUGCAGGUUGCUCAUCUGGAGCGAACUGGGCAUUACUUGACCGUUAAGGAUAAUCAGGUUGUCCAUCUUCAUCCCUCGAAUUGCAUGGACCAUAAGCCGGAGUGGGUCAUCUACAAUGAAUAUGUUUUGACCACCAGGAAUUUCAUCCGCACAGUCACCGAUAUCCGUGGAGAGUGGCUGAUCGAUAUAGCUCCACAGUACUAUGAUCUGACCAAUUUCCCAUCAUGUGAGGCCAAGCGUGUUCUUGAGAGGCUACACAAUAAGAGGGAGAGGGAAAGAGCUGCUAGUAGGAACUGA
rnacentral:rRNA from 1 species